UGCCUACAUUCCACCCAGCCUGACUGCUCUGGAAGGAAGAAUCCCUGCAAGGUGAGUGUUAUUAUAUCCAUUUGUGGACCAGGACUGCGGCUCAGAAGCUUUUCCCAGGACACUGAACUCUGACAGGUGAAUAGCUGCCAAGUGGUGGAGGUUGGCCUGCAGUGAGCAUCAGUCUGACUUCGAAGGACAGAAUGACACAUGGUACAAGCUUUCUGUCUUACUGCCACACGUCAGUGUCCUGGGAGAUGAACCAGAUGCAGGUGAUGCCGAAGAGGUGUUUUUCCAGCUGUGUUUUUCUAUCCUGAGGUUACAUCGGAGUAUGACAUGAUCAAACCUCUUCUUUGCACCAUGUCACAGAACCACCUUAAUGGAAGAGUGGACAAUAACUAUUGUGGUUUUCUCCUAUUUCAGGUGAUGGAAUGGAACCAUGUGUGUACAAAAAGAUACAGGAAUGUACAUAUUCAGUUUGCAAUAUAAAAACAUACACUGUGAUUGGAGAGGGAUUACAACAUUCUAAUUGCAAUUUUUGUCAUUUAUUCAAUAAAUAUUUCCUGGCUGGGUAUGAUGGCUCAAAGUGCCUGUAAUCCCAGCACUUUGGGAGGCCAAAGCAGGCAAAUCACCUGAGGUCAGGAGUUUGAGACCAGCCUGGCCACCAUGGUGAAACCCCAUCUCUACUAAAAAUACACAAAUUAGCUGGGUGUGGUGGUGCAUGCCUGUAAUCUCAGCUACCUGGGAGGCUGAGGCAGGAGAAUUGCUUGAACUCGGGAGGCGGAGGUUGCAGUGAGCUGAGAUUGCACCACUGCACCCCAGCCUGGGCAACAGAGUGAGACUCUGUCUCAAAACAAACAAACAAACAAACAAACAAAUUCCUGAGUGCCUACCAUAUGCUGAUUAAACUGUUCUAGAUGUUGGAGAUGCAGCUAUGGACAAGACAAAUACAGUCUCUUCUCUCCAGGAAUUUACCUUCUAAUGGAGGAGAGAGACAAAAACAACUUUGUACAUAAACCUUUUCUGAUAGUCAUUAAGAAAAUAAAGCAACAUGGUGUCCAAAUUCUAGAUUGCUCAUUUUAAAGGCUAGGGUGCCUAAAACCACAAGGAACAUUUCAGAAUUAGUAACAUUCAUACUUCGUAGAGCUAUACUUAGGCUAAUAAAUGUUUGGUAUUGUUGCCUCCCCAACAGCCACCUCAGACCACCUCCUGACUCCAAGUUUCCCUGCUCAUCAAUCCAAAAUUUUGUUGAAUAUACUACUUCCCCACCCCCAAUGGAGCUUAAGGGUUAACCUGAACUCUCUAAACCAAUCAGGGCAUUCCUACUGUCUUUGAUCGUGAGUGUUGUAGGCAGAGACAUAUAACCCAAUCCUUGCUAAUGAGACUUGAGGUAGGACCCCAGCUUCCGGAGAGGUUGCCUGGCUCCUAAAAAGAGAAAGAUACCGGAAAAGAGAUGGACUCUUCUACCACUGGAAAUCAGAUGGUGUCCUGAGUGACAUAAGUGUACUUACAACAGCCAUUUUGCAACCAUAAAGAAGCCAGUGGGAAUACACAGGCUACGUGUCCUCGAAGGCACAGAAGAAAGAAGAGAGAAAACUAUAUUCUUGAUGACACAGUUGAGCUACAGAAUUGUCCAACCCCGGAGGUGCCCCACUUCGCGUUGUGGGAGAUAAUGCAUUUUCCUUGCUGUUUAAACCACUUUGAGCUGAGUUUUCUAUUACCAGCAGCCUAAAGCAUUUUGACAGAUAAAAGUAGAUACAAAUGCACAUAUAUAAUGAGCAUCCUGACUGAACGAUUAAAUGUGUAUGUAGGCAUGCAUUACCUCCCCACUCCAUUUAUGAUUGUCACAUUUAUUUUUACUUCAGGGAAAAGCAACUAUAGAAUUUAAAAAAUCAGGAUUGAAAACAAAUACCUGAAUUUCCUACAAUUAAAAAAUCAAUCCAUUAAGUAGUGGUAUUAUGCUAAAAUAAAAUGAAUGCUUAGAAAUUUGUUAAGUGUUUAUGAUGUAAUAAGACAUCAAAUAAACCAUUUUUCUUUAAGUUCUUUAAUAAAAAAAAUCUGAUGUGGAGUCCAGUCUUUCAUUUUUAUCACUGGAAUAAAUAGAGAAUAGUCAUUGCAAUCAAUUGCCUGUUUGUUUCCCCAGAG
rnacentral:lncRNA from 10 species